GUCCCUCAUUUGAGUUUAUCUGUACCUAUACAGACCAGAGGAACCAGAGAGAGCAGCAGUGAGUCCUGCUCAGAGUUUCAGAGCCUGCACAGUCAGUCAGUCCAGAGAGCCAAAGGUGAGUGGAACUAAACUUAUAACUCAUUUUAAUAUAGACAUUAACGGCUUUUAGCAUUUUUCAUGCCUCAUGUUUAUGCAAUAGGUUGAUUGCAUUAGAACGCACAAAGAUGUUGCAUUGCAUAGCUACAUUGUUGGUGUGGGUAAAUGCUGAAUGAUCCAAUAGUUCCAGACAGGAAGUCCAGGAGCCUUUGACUACGCCCUGGCAGGUAUAGAGAAGUCCAGGAGCCUUUGACUACGCCCUGGCAGGUAUAUAGUAAAGUCCAGGAGCCUUUGACUACGCCCUGGCAAUGGUAAGUACAGAGGUGUUAUAUACACAUAUACAUAUAUCAUAGGAAGACCAGGUGCUCGAUUCUACGCCCUGGCACAGAGUUACUGGGACUAUGUGGUGACAGGUUUAUCUUUGAUGUGGAUUGUUUGUGUUAUGACGCAUUCCAUGAGAUCAUAUUUUACAUUUACUGUUCUACUCACUGGGCUAUAGAGCUCAUCCCACUCCCUUAACCCCAGUUUUGCAGGUUCAGUGUACAGUGUACAGGGACAGUCCAGCAGAGUAUAGAAAGAGUAAAAGAGCUUGUAAUAGUAUAGAGUGGACAUGUAAAUUUUAAAGAAAUGUAAUAGUUGUGUAUAAAGUUAGAGUUGUG
rnacentral:lncRNA from 1 species